CUAAAUCCCCGAAGGCACCGACUGCAGCUCCCAGAGAUGUCCUGAUCCUUCACAUCUUUCAGGGACAAAAAAGCGAUCCAAGAGGCAUUGAGGUCUUAAGUCCCGUUCGAACUCGAAGGCAUGCAACUUACCUUCCUUCAGGACUUAUGCAGAGCUACGCUUGACUGGAGGCCAUCGGUCCAGGAGGUUACGAAGACACUCAGGGAGGCAGGAAUCACCUACAGAUGGGGGCCGCCCCACACUCUGACAGCCAGAAUAGAUGGCACAACCUUCCGACUCACAGCAUCAGAG